AGUGAACGCUGGCGGUAGGCCUAACACAUGCAAGUCGAACGGCAGCACAGUAAUAGCUUGCUCUUACGGGUGGCGAGUGGCGGACGGGUGAGGAAUACAUCGGAAUCUACUUUUUCGUGGGGGAUAACGUAGGGAAACUUACGCUAAUACCGCAUACGACCUACGGUUGAAAGCAGGGGAUCUUCGGACCUUGCGCGAUUGAAUGAGCCGAUGUCGGAUUAGCUAGUUGGCGGGGUAAAGGCCCACCAAGGCGACGAUCCGUAGCUGGUCUGAGAGGAUGAUCAGCCACACUGGAACUGAGACACGGUCCAGACUACUAAGGGAGGCAGCAGUGGGGAAUAUUGGACAAUGGGCGCAAGCAUGAUCCAGCCAUACCGCGUGGGUGAAGAAGGCCUUCGGGUUGUAAAGACCUUUUGUUGGGAAAGAAAAGCAGCAGGUUAAUACCCCGCUGUUCUGACGGUACCCAAAGAAUAAGCACCGGCUAACUUCGUG
rnacentral:rRNA from 1 species